rnacentral:tRNA from 4 species
GGUCGGAUGGUUUAGUUGGUCAUAAUGUGUGCUUCACACGCACAAGGUCCCGGGUUCGAACCCCGGUCUGAUCA